CCCUGCAGACCGAUGCUCUACCACUGAGCCAAACCGGUUGCGGCUAAAUCUUAAAUUUAAGAAAAUUUAACACAUAAUAUAAUAUUCUUUUAAAAUUCUAAGGACUUACAGGAAUGUAUUCAGUGCUAAUUCUGCUAAACAUAGAUUUUGUGAUCUUGCUAUUCACAUCAAAACCACUUUCUUCCACAGCAUGGCCGAACACUGUGAUUAUUGCUAUUCUAAAUAAACGGGUUUCGUGAACUUCAUAGAGCUUUGUUGUUUGUUUUAAAUGUGGAACACAUAACCAAAAGUGUAAGUUUUGGUUGCUAAUCUGGAUUAAAUGCAACCUAAACUUAAAAUUCCUCUACUCUUUCAGACUGAAUCUCGUCUAAAUUUAUCAAGCCUAUAGUUAAUUAUCUGUGGAUUACUCCUAAAACAUUUGCUAAUGUGUGAACAUGAUCAGAGUUAACUUUACAAACCUUAUCUGAAGUACCAUAAUUAACAGUCACUGUAGGACGGACAUUGACAGUACUUUAUUAACACUAAAUAUUGAUGUUAUUUUGAGCCUCAGAAUUGUGACAAUAUUUGCUAUACAUUCCCUAAAUAGUGCAAAACAAUGUUUACUAUAUUGUAAAGACUCAGUAAUGAAAAAAACUAGUAUUUGCCCUCAGAGAGCUUACAGUCUAGUUGAUAUGACAGAAUUAUAUACCACAGACAUGCAAAAACUACUUAGGAAGCAAAAGAAAUUUCACAUUUUUAGGGCUCAGCUGAGCCUUCCUGAAGGAGAGAUUUGAGGUGAGUCUUGAAAUUUGAAAGGCUAAACUAUAUGUGGCAUUACUAGGAAAGUGAUAGAGAAAGCUGAACUGUAGAUAUUUACUGUUAUGGAAAAUGGAAUUCCAACCAUGAAUCUGAAAAUGUGGCUUAUGAUAAACUUGAGCUAGCCUUAAAUAUUGGAAAAACUUUUCACACAACUUCUUAAAUACUAUUUUUCAAUCACCAACUAGAUUUUUUAGAAACUGUUUUUUCAAAACUUCACAGGAGUUCACAUUUGGAAACAUGAUGGACACAGCAUUUGCUCCUUAACAUUAUUUGUACAGUAUUUUUUUUAUACCUGAAAUUGCAAACUAGAGGCCCACAAGCAGUCCUGAUAGGUUUGACUACAUAGUAGUAUAGUGGUUGUUUUGUGUUUUUAACUGAAUUUAAAUGCAUUAAGGCAGAACAUGGGCACCUCACUCUCCUACUGUAGCAUUCCCUAAUAACAUGUCUAAAUUCACAUAUAUAUGUUUCCUUUCUGAUUUCUAUAUAUAUGAACUGAAUAGCAAAUACAUUGAUUUUUAAUUGAGUCUAUCUGAAAAUUUAUAACUACUUAAAUUGUACUAAGAAUGAGAAAUCCAGGGUCUUAGAAAUUAUUUUCUUUAAAACCCCCCUUCUUAAUUUCAUAGUUACUAUUUAUGAAGGCCCAAGAAAAGUAUAGGUAGUCCUACUAAUAACUGAAGUAUAACUCCAAGUUCAUGGAUAUUAUUCCUAUUCCUAGAAAGCCACAAAAAUAUUCAAUCUCCAGUCUAUUUACUUAUUUCAAAUUCCACACAAUAGCAAAAAGUAGCAAAAGAAUGUCACAAUAGUAAGGUGAAACAGCUAAUAGAAUAAUGAAAGAAAAACUAGAAAAAUGACACAAAUCCAAAAGCCCCAAUAAUGUAUGCUUAGUCUAAAACAUUUAGUCUAAGAAACUAUAGUCAAAAUAUUUUGUUCAAGGUAAACAAAAAUACGCAGUUUGGUUUUUUUAAGUUCUGGAUAGAAAACCUUUUUAAAAGUUCAUUGCUAAAAUGAGUUAACUCAGCUAUAUUAACUAUAGGUCUCAAAAGUAUUGAGAAAGUUGUAUACAUACCCCAAGUUUAUCUAAAAACGUGAUCAUACGAUGUUUAUUACUUUUGAUGAAAGGAUUGACUCCUUCCAUAUAGGGCUCCUAAAAAUAUAAACACAAAAAGCUUACUAUAUGCAUUAAAAACAAACAUCUGAUCUAUAUAAUAAAAACAUACAUGUUAUAAGAAUUCUUUAAAAUAUGUAUUAUCAAUAGCAAUACAUGUUCACAGUGACAAUAUUUUCAUUCUAAUAUAAGCAAACAGCUAUACUAAAGAACUGGAAUUUUUUAGUAAAAAAAAUUCUGGAAUGAGAAUGCAUCAGAGCAUAUAGCCUAGCAGAUACAAAUUGCUCAUAUGUAAUUCAUUCAAAAAUAACUAAGAAACUAUUAUUUGCCAAGCAUCAGGACAAACAUGGGUCCAACCCUAAGGGUAGAAUCUAGCAGAAAAUAUAGGGAAUUAAAGUGUGCAAAGGACUAUAAUAGGAAAAUAUAUAUGAGUUAGAUAAAUCCAAAAACUAAGCCAGACAUAUAAACUGCUCUUCAUACUAAAAUCUUAUAUGCUAUGUUAUAAAAUAGGAGGUUAGUAUUAACACAACUGCUUUUAAAAUCAGUAAGUUCAAUAAGGAGAUGAGAUAAAGACCUCAUCAAUUCCAAGAAAUAAACAUGAAAAAUCAUUCAAUUUCUCUAAGAGUAAUGAAACACCAAAGUAGCGUUAUGCCUAUUUUUCAUCAAGGCUGUGGGGAACAUAAUGUCUUGUAAUCUUAUUCCAAAGUUAGUUAAACAUAUAAAGACACUUGUUACAGCAAUAUUUAUGGUAGUGAUAAAUUGGAAGCCAUCGAAAUAGCCAAUAGAGAACUAUUUAAGAUCUGUCUAUAUGAUGGCAUACUAAAUAAUCAUUAAGCACAAUAAAACAAAUAUUUCCAGGUACAGCAAGUUUGUUACAUUAUGAUGACAGCAGGUGAUAUAGUACGAUUCUUAUCAUGAUAUUAACAGUCUUCAGUUGUGGGAUCACACAUGGGGGUUUUAAAAUUUAUAGUGAAAUGUUUAUUGUGAAAUAAAUUUUUAAAGAUUGAUUGGCAUGCAUUUAGCAUGCUGGCUGAAGAUAUAAUUUUCAAUACUGAAAAUUGAACAUAUCGUUUUCUAUAAUGGCUAGAAUAGUGGUCUUAAGAAUUCCAUUAUUUACAAUGUAAAACCUAGACAAAACAUUUUUUAAAAUAACAUACCAACAAAAAUAUAAAUUCUCUUUAUGAACUUCCCAUUAUUGUAAAUUUACUUAAGCUAUAUUUUAUGAUUUUAUGUCAAAGUUUCAUUCAUGAAUGAUAUUUUAAAGAAUAAAAAUGUUUAUACCUUAGCUCCAAAUUCCACAAGAUUAGCUAAAUUCUGUACAGACUUAGCCACUAGUAUCAGUGUUCUUGCAGCAAUGGGAGAUGGGGAAUCUGUAAGAGAAUUGGGCAGAGCUAAUGAGACCAACUCCGAAAGUACUCCCAGAAUAUCGUGCUCGGACACGCAAGGAUCCUGGUUCAAUACCUUUUAAUGGUAUAUGGGAGCUGAGCAAAAACCAUUCAUCCGUGGCAUGCCCUUUCUGUAACCGGCUCAACUGGCAGCGCA